GGCUGCAAACCCCUUCAGCUCCUUGGCUCACUUGAGGAACUCCAGUCAUGUCAAGUCAUCGUCCUCCUCAGUCAUGUCCU